AGUGAACGCUGGCGGUAGGCUUAACACAUGCAAGUCGAACGGCAGCACAGUAAGAGCUUGCUCUUACGGGUGGCGAGUGGCGGAAGGGUGAGGAAUACAUCGGACUCUACUUUUUCGGGGGGGAUAACGUAGGGAAACUUACGCCAAUACCGCAUACGACCUACGGGUGAAAGCAGGGGAUCUUCGGACCUUGCGCGAUUGAAUGAGCCGAUGUCGGAUUAGUUGGUUGGCGGGGUAAAGGCCCACCAAGGCGACGAUCCGUAGCUGGUCUGAGAGGAUGGUCAGCCACACUGGAACGUGGACACGGUCCAGGCUCCUACGGGAGGCAGCAGAGGGGAAUGUGGGACAAUGGGCGCAAGCCUGAUCCAGCCAUACCGCGUGGGUGAAGAAGGCCUUCGGGUUGUAAAGCCCUUUUGUUGGGAAAGAAAAGCAGCAGGUUAAUACCCCGCUGUUCUGACGGUACCCAAAGAAGAAGCACCGGCUAACUACGUG
rnacentral:rRNA from 1 species